UUUGGAAAAGUAUAAACCUAAGGCAUCACCUUUACAGAAAAUAUCUUCCACGGAAACAUCUAAAGGCCACAGAUCAGCCCUGGGGUUCAGAGGGAUCCUGACAGCUACUCCUCAAGAUCCUCUCUGUUGUGAUUCAUCCCCCCGGGGCCCUACAGUUUCUCCUUCCUGACUCUUACAUUUCUUUGGAUGGCAUCAUUAUUUACCUGUCUCCUCCCAUAGUUAGGUGCCAAGCACUGUGGAUUCUGCCUCUCAGUGUCCAGACACCCAUUUUCCUUCCCACUGUUCCUUCCCCAUGGAGAAGCCUGUGGCUGGCUGACAGCAGAGAGAGAUGCUCAACUUGGAGAAGGUGUUACCUGGGCCAGGUGGGGAAGGUUUGUUUGCAGAG
rnacentral:lncRNA from 1 species